UUGGUUGCUCUUCUGUGGCUAGCAUAAAAGAUUGUGACCAAAGCAACUUAAGUUCCAGAGGACUAGAGUCUGUGAUAGUGAGGAAGCCAUAACACAGCAGCAGGAACAUGACCACAUUUUAUCUGCAUACAGGAAGCACACAGGCAGAACAGGAAGUGGGGCGGGGCUAUAGUCUCAAAGCCUGCCCCUAAUGACGUAUUUCCUCCAGCAAGCCUCCACUUCCUAGAGAUUCCGUAACCUCCUGACAAUAGUUCCACCAACUGAUAACAAAGUAUUCACGUACAUGAGCCAAGGAAUUCGUUUAACUGCCACAAAUAUCCGAGAGGCCAAUUUCUGAAGGGAAAAGCCCAGAGUUUUAAACUUAGUCUCACACACACACAGCCCACAAUGGGUUGGUCCUGUACUUUGAGCCUGUGGUAGCUUAUGUGGCAGGAGUGUAUUGAAAAGCAAGACUGUUCACACCUUGACAAGGAAGCCAAAGAGGCAAAGAGAAGAGCCCAGAAUCCCACAAGGUUCCUAAGAGAGAGCAUCUCUGACCCUGGAAUCGUCUUUCUGCCAUUCGUGUCAGCCAAGAAAGCAAUGCUGCUGGCUCGGAAGCCGUGAAUUGAAGAAGGUUAGAGACAUUCUACUGCAUGGAGUGUGACAAAGCUGCUCUGCUCAUUCUGUUGGUUGUCUUCUCCAUUGUGUGAGUCAGGAUGAGAAGCCCUUCCUCUGACUACCGCUCCCAGUGCUCACCGAUGACUAGGAGACUUUGCCUAAGAAGCCAUGAAGAAGUGAAGAAGCAAUUUGACAGGAAAAGGCUUAAGUUUUUUUUCUUUUUAUUGAUUCCAAGUAAAUACAGGCUAAAUGCCCUCAACUUAGGAAAAAAAUCCUUGGUAACACAAAUUUCAAUAUGUUAGCUCAACAACACUAUCGAGAAAUGCUAUUGCUAGAUCUCACAAGAAAAGUGUGUUAGUUAGGGUUUCUAUUAUGAAGAGGCACCAUGACCAUAGCAACUCUUACAAAGGAAAAUAUCUCACUGGGCUGGUUUACGGUUUCAGAAAUUUAGCUCCUUAUCCUCAUGGCAAGAAGCGUGGUGGCGUGCAGACAGACAUGGUGCUGGAAAGGGAACUGAGAGUUCUACAUCUUGAUCUGCAGGCAGAAGAGGGAGACUGUGUGUCACAGCAGGCUUAACUUGAGCAUAUGAGAUGUCAAAGCCUGCUUCCACAGUGACACACUUCCUCCAACAAGGCCAUCCUCCUAAUAGUGCCACUCUCUACGGGCUAAGCAUUCACACACAUGAGUCUAUGAGGGCCAUUCUUAUUCAUACAAGCCCAAGAAGUAACAAUCAAAUGUUUGUGGCUGGAGACAAGGUUUAUUCAACAUCUGCAAGGAGGAAAUGCCCUUCUCAGACCCCUUUGAUUGCAAUAUAUCUUUUCUGCACAUUCCUAGAAUCCCCCACAAAUCACUCAACUGUGGGUGAGGUAAUGAGUGUUCAUUAUCAUAUUAACACAAUCUAGAAGCACCUGAGAGACAGGCCUCUGGGCAUACUUAUAGAGCACUGGUUCUCAACCUUCCUAAUAUUGGGAAUUUAAUAUAGUUCUUCAGGUUGACGAGGCACAUCUCCCCAACCAUAAAAUCAUUCUCAUUACUAUUUCAUAACUGUAAUUCUACUUUUAUGAGUUAUAAUGUAAAUAUUUGAUAUGCAGGAUAUCUGAUAUAUGACCCCUAUGAAAGAGUUGUUUGACCCCCAGGGGAGUCAUGACCCACAGGCUGUGAACUGCUGAUAUAGAUAAGAUAAUAAAGUUAAUUAUGUUAAUUCUGUGUUAAUUGUGGCAGGAAGUCCUGGACAGUGUGAAUGGAGUGGAGAAUCAGGAAAGCAGCUUGCUCCUGUUGCUCCCUCUCUGUCUCCUGACUUUGUAUGAUGGGACCAGCCGCUUCAAGCUCCGGCUGCCUUGGUUUCUCCACCACUGAUGAACUACACUUUGAACUAUGAGCAAAAUAAACCUUUCUCUCUUAGGUUGUUCUUAUUUCUAUCACAGCAAUAGGAAAAGAAGAUUUGGUCUGUGGGUAUAAAGCUAACUGAAGUAAUCUCAAAGGUUCCAGAACACUUGGCAAGUUUCUUUCAUCAAGAAAAUCUAAUGGUUCCUUUUCCAUCAUAAACAAACCAACAAAAGUGGACAAAGCUCAGCAUCGCCACUAGUAUCUGGCAAGUAGCCAGAGCGUUUGAGAGCACCAGGUAUUCCCGUGGUGGAGUGUACUCUAAGGUACCAGCAGAAGGGAGGGUGCUUUUGAAUAUUUAUUCUCAUGCCUUAAAAGUCUCCAGGAUUGCUGAAAUUACAUUCCCACAUUGAAAUCCUUGUUAUUUGUUUAUGGACAAAAAGGGCUUAUCUAGUUGGAAUCAAACGUAAAGCCAUAUGCAACUGAUUUUCUGGUAUUAAUAUUCUGUGAAAUAGGGUGACAUUAGAGAGGGAUUAGCUCCCUCCGAUGCACGAUUUUACAUAAAUGAAUGCCUGAUCCUGUAGUUUCUCAGCAGAGCUUCGUAGCUGCAAAUCACAAAUCGGAUCCCUUGCCCCUCUUCCUGUGUGCCCUAAACAAACAGUAACCUUGAAUCACGAUUUCAUUAUUGUAGACAGCAGAAUUCCAUCAGCUAUGCAGAGCACCAACAAUGUCAAAGUUAUGAAGGAAGUCUAAAGCCAAAUUCUCAGUUUACCCAUUUCAGGCCAAAAUCUACAAAUCCAGCUUCUGAAUACCCAAAACGUCAUAAAUAUCCAGGGCCUUGGAGUCUUUUCUCAUGCUCAAAUGAAGAGCUACGUCUCGCUUUUUAGACUAAGUUGUGAACUGCACCUCAUAAAUAAUGAGGUGUGUCACCGAAGGCCAAAUAGUCAUCUUUCCUUUAGUCUAAACAAAAUGUCCUGGGAACGGACCUGGGAAGAAAGAUACUUGAAGAUGUGUGGAGAAGCUCAAGAAUAUAUGUCUGCGCCUCUCCAUAAAUACACUUCUAUCUACUGGUAACUAUUGCGUAAGCUGUGUGUUAUAUCACACUGGAGGCUUUUUAAGAGGUGAUUUUUCACACGCAUGUAAGUUGAAAACAAGACAUUUUCUGUACCCAAUAAGUUACUAGCCUCUGAGACCUAUAAAGGAAAUUUUGAAUUGACAAUUUUCUUCAGGAAAGCUCUGAAUGAAGAAGCCUGACAAGAAAUAAGUGAAUAAUAUUCUCUUCUGUGGAACUAUUCAAUAAAUCCGGUUUCCCCACCUCUAACUAAGAUGUAUAGG